CUGACUCUCUCCUCACUCAUAACUGCUUCUCACUCCUCCACCGACUUCCAACUGUCUGGGCUGGUGCUGUGCUUUUCCCAUGGGCCCUUGUGGAACUAAAAUAAAAAUUAAUGGACACUUUUGAAAGUGUGUAUGACAAACAGAUAAGCUUCACAGGUAAAAGAAAUAUACCCAGUAACCCAGCAUAGGACUAUAAUACAUCUGUGAAACAUAGAAAAGGUAAAUUUCAGCAGGUAAGGCAGCAAAAAGUUUUCUUAAAAUCCUUAGGAAAAAUAUUUUAAUCUGUAUGUAAAUGGGAGGGAUCCACCUAUUAUUCAGUCAUUUAUUUCUCUAGGUUUGUAAAACGAUGGCCUUACAAGAACAGUCUAAGUGUCAGACUGAAGGCCAAAUCUCAGUAUCAUAUUUCUUGGCCAGAGUAUGCCAGCAAAGGCAGACCUGGGCUGAACUAGUCACAUAUCAGAAGGAUGUCUUCUCUGUGUCACAUCAUUACUCUGUGGAUUAUGUCCAGCAUCCUCUAUGUAAUUUACAGCAAAAGGUAGCAUUUUCACUCAUAAACUUCUUUUAACUGAAACAGAUGCCCAUGUUCUGUAGGAUAUGCACAAUAUAUGUUCACAACACAAUUGCAUCAGAUAUGCUCAGCCUUACUGUAGAUCUUACUUUGAUUCAAUACACUGACUUGCCAACAAGAUUUUGAAAGUACUCUCCUUCCCCCAAGCAGACACCAUGCAACACUAAAAAAACCCAAAACAAGCAAUUACAGGUUUGAUUCCACUUCAGGGAAGGAAAGUAGCUAUAUAUUCCAAAAGUAGCUUUAGAAAUGCAAAAUGUAAUUAUUGCAGUUGGAAUCUGCCCAAGGACAAUUGAAUGCAUAAACCUAUUCUUGCAAAAUGUACCAGGAAAUGGCCAAAAUGUUAUCAUGAACACAGUUUUAUUACUCAGCUAAAAGAUAGAAAGCACUCUGCAAUUCUAAGCUAGAGUACUUGAGUCAGUAUUAACUGAGAAGUAUAUCAUCCUCUACAUCAAAAAUCAACAAACCUUUCUACCUUUCUAUUCAUUGAAAGACCCUCAUACAAUACUAAUGUAAGUAAUUUUAAAGAAAUAACCCAAAACACUUAAAAUGGCCUCAGCUGUUUUUAGGAUUUCACUAUAAAAGGUUAGAGAGAUAUAUACCCUAAAACUAUAUGAUUGUAUGAGUGUAACUCUUAAUCUUACAGUUCUUAACAAGCACUCAAAAAUUCACAAGUUUGCAUGUAAACUUGUGUGUUUACACACAAAUUUUCUGGAAAAAAUAAAUGCUAAAUCUACGCAGUUACAGGAUUGUUAUUUCCUUCACCUUUUGUUCACAGAAAAAACAUUGCCGUAACCUUUUUUUUUUUUUUUUUACAUUUCACUUUAUUAAUUGUUAAUUUGCCAUAUUAGAAAAUAAUAACUUCUGUCUUUGAUCAAGGUCAUGACAGAGAGGGAACAUAAUCAUAAACCUGAAUAUUGUUUAAUAAUGAAGAUAGAUUAUUACAUCUUUAAACAAAUGAACAAAGUAAAAUACACAGAAAAUAAUUUUGACUAAGUAACAAUGGAUAUUCUAUGGCUUUUGAAGACUGACAGCACCACUAUCAUUAAACUGUAAGCCAUAUUAUUUUAACUAUUAGCUGUUUAAUACUUCUCAAAUUUUUUGCAGGCCACAGUUGUAUAAUGGAUUUAGUGGAAGAAUUUACCACCAAUAUCAGACCGCAAGCCACCUUAGAUGAGACAGCUCCUUAUAUUAGUUAAUUGCAGUUAUUCUAUUACUUUACUGGAAAUUUUAGUUUUUAAAAACAUGCACAAAGAAGUUCUGAAUUAAAAUAUUCAUUCUAUUUAGUAAUACUGAGCAAGAUGGGAAGAUUAAGCAUUUCCUUACCAAGUAUCUAACCUUGAAGCAAUGAAAUAAGAAUUAAAAUGAUUAGGCAUGUUCUGGUUCCUUGUUA